GAAAUCUCAUGUUCUCGCGGUGGAGCACCUCCUUGUUCGACUUUAUCGGGGAUCAGGUUGGUAUUUUUCCGCUUAUGUAGUUUGGAUAAUUGAUGCAUUAGCUGAAGGAUUUGAUUUCCGGAAUUUCAAUUCCAUGGAAUUGGAGAAGGGAAUAAAUCGCAAAUUACAAUCUUGUUUUUCGCGAAAACCUAGAAUGUCCUGAAUGCCCUUGACUGUGAAGUUUUGGAUAAGGGAGGGUUUGAGUGAAUCCGACGGCUAGAAAUUAAUGGUUGCCUCCUUGCCUGAAUCUGGCCUCCACGCUGCCACACCUCAACAUAGGCUGGUCAAGCAACAUAUAUGAGAAUUAUUUUUUUUCCUCUUCAUUCAGUUUUAAAAAUCCAGCUCAACACUCGACCCCAAAAACACAUGUUCAUCAUUGAACCCCGUUUGGGUUGCUUUAAGCCAGGUAGGAUUGCUUGUAUGAAGCUAGAAAAGCUUCUUUUUCAAAGUUCAUCAUAAGAUGACUCGUACUAAUUUAAAUGAUUUUAUUAAAGAAAUUUAUGAUUUAAAUUUUUUUUUUUAUAAAGAAAUUAUGAUUCUAAUUUCAGCCGUGUAUAUUAAAAUAAAAAAUAAAAUACUAUUUGAAGCACUUCCCAGGUAUUCUCACUUGCUUCUAGAACUAUGUGUUUUUUUUUUUUUUUUAAAUAUCAAUUUAAAGAAUCUUGUUAUUAUCAGGCUUUGCUUCUAGAUGGAAAAUAUGAGUUGGAAGCGUGUAUAGUAAUUUCGGCAUCAUUGAUGACGCUUUCAAUAUGUGUAAAUUGAGGUGGGCGCCCCCAUGUGAACUGAGAAAAACGUGAU
rnacentral:lncRNA from 1 species